rnacentral:rRNA from 1 species
UACAGAGGUCUCAAGCGUUGUUCGGAUUCAUUGGGCGUAAAGGGUGCGUAGGUGGCGCGCUAAGUCGGGUGUGAAAUUUCGGAGCUUAACUCCGAAACUGCAUUCGAUACUGGCGUGCUCGAGGACUGGAGAGGAGACUGGAAUUUACGGUGUAGCGGUGAAAUGCGUAGAUAUCGUAAGGAAGACCAGUGGCGAAGGCGGGUCUCUGGACAGUUCCUGACGCUGAGGCACGAAGGUCAGGGGAGCAAACGGG